rnacentral:rRNA from 1 species
AUUGAACGCUGGCGGCAUGCCUUACACAUGCAAGUCGAACGGUAACAGGUCUUCGGAUGCUGACGAGUGGCGAACGGGUGAGUAAUACAUCGGAACGUGCCCGAUCGUGGGGGAUAACGGAGCGAAAGCUUUGCUAAUACCGCAUACGAUCUACGGAUGAAAGCAGGGGACCGCAAGGCCUUGCGCGGACGGAGCGGCCGAUGGCAGAUUAGGUAGUUGGUGGGAUAAAAGCUUACCAAGCCGACGAUCUGUAGCUGGUCUGAGAGGACGACCAGCCACACUGGGACUGAGACACGGCCCAGACUCCUACGGGAGGCAGCAGUGGGGAAUUUUGGACAAUGGGCGCAAGCCUGAUCCAGCCAUGCCGCGUGCAGGAUGAAGGCCUUCGGGUUGUAAACUGCUUUUGUACGGAACGAAAAGACUCUUUCUAAUAAAGAGGGUCCAUGACGGUACCGUAAGAAUAAGCACCGGCUAACUACGUGCCAGCAGCCGACGGUAACG